CUUGGGCACAGACAUGGAGCCACAAUAAGCUAUUGCCAGUCCUGGUGUUUGGCUUCCCCCUCACCCCCCUUCUGGCUUAGAGUUUCUCAUCUGUCAAGAUUCAUUAACAUGGUGAUGAAGAUUUAUGAAGGGCAAGGUCAGCAAAACUGCAGACUACAAGAUCACUAGGCUGACAAGUCCUAAGAUCUGCAGGCAGCAGACUGGAGACUCGGGAGAACUGAUGGUGUAGUUCCAGAUCAAAGGCCAGCAGGCUCGAGACUGAGGAAGAGCCAUUAUUUCAACUGGAAUCCCAAGGCAGGAAAAAACUAAUGACCCAGCUUGAAGGCAGUCAGAGAAAUGUUGAACACACAGCAAGAUGGCAGCUGACUACAAGCUAAGAGAAGAGGCUUCAUAAUAAAACCUAUCUUGCUGGCACCUUGACCUUGGACUUCUCAGCCUCUGGAACUGUGAGAAACAAUUUAAAUUGUUUAGACCACCCAGUUGGUGAUAAUUUAUUAUAACAGCCUAAGCAGACUAAUAUAACUAGUUAUUUGGAGACAGAGCCAGUUGCGAGAAUCUGAGCAGACGUUGGUAGCGUCAACCUAAACGGAAGAAGCUGAGGCAAAAUUAACGUAAGUAGAGAGUUUCUUUGGGCCAAGCUGGAGGAGUGCUACCCUGGAGCAUAGACUGAAAUUGCCCUGAAUAUAUACUCUGAUUAGUAGCAGUAACAAAUGAAUCUGUAAAGGCAAAAGAGGUGGACAGGGAGUGGGCUGAUAUAAAGUUGUUUGUCGGGAAUUCUCAUAGGUUUGCAGAAAUAACAUUGAUUUGGGAUUGGCUAUACUUGUUAAGCCAUAGAGUAUGGGUAAUAGUGACUGGG
rnacentral:lncRNA from 1 species